rnacentral:rRNA from 1 species
AACGAACGCUGGCGGCAUGCCUAACACAUGCAAGUCGAACGAGACCUUCGGGUCUAGUGGCGCACGGGUGCGUAACGCGUGGGAAUCUGCCCUUGGGUUCGGAAUAACAGUUAGAAAUGACUGCUAAUACCGGAUAAUGUCUUCGGACCAAAGAUUUAUCGCCCAGGGAUGAGCCCGCGUAGGAUUAGCUAGUUGGUGAGGUAAAGGCUCACCAAGGCGACGAUCCUUAGCUGGUCUGAGAGGAUGAUCAGCCACACUGGGACUGAGACACGGCCCAGACUCCUACGGGAGGCAGCAGUGGGGAAUAUUGGACAAUGGGCGAAAGCCUGAUCCAGCAAUGCCGCGUGAGUGAUGAAGGCCUUAGGGUUGUAAAGCUCUUUUACCCGGGUAUGAUAAUGACAGUACCGGGAGAAUAAAGCCCCGGCUAACUCCGUGCCAGCAGCCGCGGUAA